UAAGCCUUCUAAUGCAGAACCAAAACUAUGUAUUAAAAAAAUAAAACAAAACAAAAAAUAGAAAACAAAAGAGUGACGUACCCUAAUUAUAUCCAGUCCCCCUUUUUAAACAAAACCCAAGGGUAAGAAAUACUUAUC